ACGGGUGAGGAAUACAUCGGAAUCUACUCUGUCGUGGGGGAUAACGUAGGGAAACUUACGCUAAUACCGCAUACGACCUACGGGUGAAAGCAGGGGAUCUUCGGACCUUGCGCGAUUGAAUGAGCCGAUGUCGGAUUAGCUAGUUGGCGGGGUAAAGGCCCACCAAGGCGACGAUCCGUAGCUGGUCUGAGAGGAUGAUCAGCCACACUGGAACUGAGACACGGUCCAGACUCCUACGGGAGGCAGCAGUGGGGAAUGUUGGACAAUGGGCGCAAGCCUGAUCCAGCCAUACCGCGUGGGUGAAGAAGGCCUUCGGGUUGUAAAGCCCUUUUGUUGGGAAAGAAAUCCAGCUGGCUAAUACCCGGUUGGGAUGACGGUACCCAAAGAAUAAGCACCGGCUAACUUCGUGCCAGCAGCCGCGGUAAUACGAAGGGUGCAAGCGUUACUCGGAAUUACUGGGCGUAAAGCGUGCGUAGGUGGUCGUUUAAGUCCGUUGUGAAAGCCCUGGGCUCAACCUGGGAACUGCAGUGGAUACUGGGCGACUAGAGUGUGGUAGAGGGUAGCGGAAUUCCUGGUGU
rnacentral:rRNA from 1 species